rnacentral:rRNA from 1 species
UACGAAGGGGGGCUAGCGUUGCUCGGAAUCACUGGGCGUAAAGCGCACGUAGGCGGCUUUUUAAGUCAGGGGUGAAAUCCUGGAGCUCAACUCCAGCAACUGCCUUUGAUAUCUGAGAGCUUGAGUCCGGGAGAGGUGAGUGGAACUGCGAGUGUAGAGGUGAAAUUCGUAGAUAUUCGCAAGAACACCAGUGGCGAAGGCGGCUCACUGGCCCGGUACUGACGCUGAGGUGCGGAAAGCGAUGGGGAGCAAAGCAGGGAUUAAGAAACCCCGUUGUAACCGUCCAGA